rnacentral:snRNA from 1 species
GAAUGUGUGGUGGAUGUGGCUGCAGCAUGUCACCCCAUUGAGCACCAUGGUUGAUUCAGCUGAUCUGGCUGGCUAAUCAGGUAUGCCCUUCCUCUCUCACCACUCCAUGUGUGUCUCGUCUCUCCCUAAGCUGUGUGCUCAGUCAAAGAGCAUGACCAUCCCCUGUACAAGUAGGACUGUUCUUCUGUCAAGGGUAUACGAGUAAUUGUGCUCUCCUGCUAGAACCUCCAAAUAAGCUCUCAAAGGAUGUAUGGUGAUAUAUGGGAUGUGACUAGGUAAACAUUUCUGGACUUUUCAACUUCUCCAUUUUAGAAAUUAGGGAAUU